rnacentral:rRNA from 1 species
CCUACGGGGGGCAGCAGUGGGGAAUAUUGCACAAUGGGGGAAACCCUGAUGCAGCGAUGCCGCGUGUGUGAAGAAGUAUCUCGGUACGUAAAGCACUAUCAGCAGGGAAGAAAAUGAUGGUACCUGACUAAGAAGCCCCGGCUAACUACGUGCCAGCAGCCGCGGUAAUACGUAGGGGGCAAGCGUUAUCCGGAUUUACUGGGUGAAAAGGGAGCGUAGACGGCAGGACAAGUCAGGAGUGAAAUCCCGGGGCUUAACCCCGGAACUGCUUUGGAAACUGUGCGGCUGGAGUGCAGGAGGGGUGAGCGGAAUUCCUGGUGUAGCGGUGAAAUGCGUAGAGAUUAGGAGGAACACCGGUGGCGAAGGCGGCUUACUGGAC